AUGGUGAGGACCCAAGCUCCUCCUCUGCUGAGGAGAACAGCCGAGUUCACAUCAAGAAAACCAGCUGUGCCAAGCUGCUCCAGGAAAGUCAACAGCAUACAAUCUUCCUCUUCAGUUCUCUUUUUAAACUAUUGUCAGCAAUCCUCAGCUCGGCGGAACCGAGGCAGGGGACGAGGCAUGCUCAGGCCUCUAGCCCUGGCUAGGUUAGUACCCGACUGGCCUCGGUUUUUCCUCGGCCCCCCUGACCUGCUGACUCCUGCCAGCUCAGCGGAGGAGCCGCCCAGAACUGGUUGUUUCGGACGCCUCGCAGAAAGCUGCUGCUGCUGCUUUCUUGGAAGACAGGACCAGGACGCAAGGGCUGGGGAGGGCAGGAUAAGGUCACAGAUAAAAAGAGAUAUUUAUAACCGUAUCUUUCAGCCCUCCCCAGCUCGUCUUUCCUUUUACCCGUUCUGCCCAUGACAGGGUGCGGGGCGGAGGCAAGCAGCAUUGCUCGGCUCUGCCUGCUUUUCCCGGCCUCGUCCUGGGAACGCCACGGUGUCCGAGAGCGGCCCAGGUGCUCCCCAUAACCCCCCAGCCCGGCGAGGGCCCCUGGUCUGGGCCCGAUUUGCACGGAAGAGCUCAGGCUCAGAGGUCGCGGGACCCGCCCGGGCUAAUACAGCCGGUUAGGUAGUGUGGACCUCGGAUUCCAGCUCCUCCAGACACAGAUCCUGCAAGGGACCCCACCCCACCCCCACCCCCACCCCCACCCCGGCCCGGGUUAAGUUUGGCCAGGCCUCCCGAGGUCGGAGGGCUCAGAGCCAAGGACCCCGCGACCCCCUUGGCCGCGUGCGCGGGGCGCUACCCGGCGGGGACACUGAGGCGGGGGCUGCGGAGGGACCGAGGGCGCCCGGGCGGUUCCUGGAAUCACUGGGUGGCUGGCUGGCCGGCCGGGGCGGGGCCUGGCGGGCGCCCAGCAGUUCCGAGGACACUGCGCGCGCGGACCCAGGGUGCCCGCAGGACACUCCGAGUCCCCAGGGCUGGCGUCAGCGGGCUGUCGCGGGAACGAGCACGUGGGACGCGGGGCGGAGGAGCCUCGCCAGGGCCGGUGACGCUCCAGGUAGGCGCAGGGCCCCAGACCCACCCCACCCCCACCCCCACUCCGGGCACCCCUCCCCCAGAGGGCACCACCUGCCGUGCUGACGGGCACCCGCGAUCGCCACUCGCGAGCACGUUGCCAUGGCAGCGAGGAGGCUGGCCCGCGUUCCCAUGGCACCGGGGGCCCUACGCGCGGAAUCCUUUACUCUCACUCCCUUCGCCACCCUCUAGUCGUGCAACGGGAACCGUGGCCCGAGAUCGCAGUCGGGGGAACAGCCUGGGUCCCUCUUCGAAAUGCUCGGGCUUGUGACCUCUGGGUUAGGCCCUGGGUCAUGGCUUCUUCCUGCUGUUUGAGCAACACGGGGGGUUGAGUGUCUAAGAGGGGAAGCCGUUGUGAUCUCUCCACAGCUAGUCUCUUCUAGCACGAAAGGGACCCCUGAGUUCUGGGUCGCUUGUGAAGGUCAAAGCCUUUGGCCACAUUUACUGAAUUCGAGCCUGUUGAGUUAGGAAUUACAAGACGACCCCCCCCCACACACGUACUGUGGAUUAAACCCAGGGCUCACAUUCUGAGCUGUAUUGCUGACCUUUAUUUAUUUUUAAUUUUGAGACAGGGUCUCACUGAGUUGCUAAAUUGCCCUCUUUGGGCUGGAAUUUGCAACCCUCCUGCCUCAGCCUUACAGACUGCUGGGAUUACAUGUGUGUGCCACCACACCCAGCUUUUUUUAAAAUAGGUAAUCACAGGAUAUUUGUAAGUAUUGAUUUUUAAAAGAACUGGGGAACAAAUGUAGAUUAAACUUUUUUCUCAUAGAUGCUUUGGAACUAUUAAGGAAUUUGUUUGAUACCAGGUAUCAAACUCAGGGCCUCUCGCUGGACAGGCAGGCACUGCACUGCUGAGCUACAUCCCUGGCCCCUAUUAAGGAAUUUAGAAGAGAUUUAGGAAUCAUUUUCUCCCGUCUCCUCAUUUUCACCAAAAGUAGUGGCACCCAGGUACUUAAGGUUAGGGUUAGGAUUAACCCUAAGAGGCUGAAGCAGGAGGAUUGAAAGUGUGAGGACUGCCUAGGCAACAAAUAUAAAUUUAAAGGGCUGGGGAUGGAUGUGUAGCUCAGUGAUAUAGUGCCCCUGGGUUGGAUCCCCAGUACUGUGGAAUAUAUAUAUCAUCCUUCACUGUUACAGGGGGAGGUGGAACCAGAGGGAUUAAAUUACUUCCCCAGAUAACACAGUGCAUUAGUGGGAAGGUCAGCAUUUGAACUCAGAUUCCUGACUCUGAGUCUGUGACUAUUUCCUUUGGUGAUUAUUCCUACGAACUUCAGAGAAAUAUGGGCUGUGUGUCCUUGUACCCAGGGCUCAGCCUCUUGGUGACCUAGGAUCUAAACCUGAGGUUAGGACUGACAGUGUAGUUCAGUGGUGAGCACGUGCUUAGCAUGCAUGAGACCUGGGACUCAUCCCAACUACCAAAAAAUGAAAUAAAAUAAUGAAAUAAAAUAGCAAGGUGUGGUGCUGCACACCUAUAAUCCCAGCACUUGGGAGGCUGAGGCAGGAAGAUUGGCAUGAGUUCAAGACCAGUUUGGGCUACAUAGUGAGUUUAAAUUGUCUGAACUGCAUAGUGAGACCCUGUCUCAAACAAAAGAAAUUAAAUAAAUACAUAGAAGGUCAGGUGUGCCAGUACCUUGAGAGGCUGAGGCAAGUUCAAAUUGUUUCUCGCCCUUUUGGCUAAGAUCAAGUGAAGUUCAAGCCCAGCCUAGGCAAUGUAGUGAUUUAGGGAGAUACUGUUUCAAAAUAAAAAAUAAAAAAGUCCAGGAAUUAUAGCUCAGUGUGAAGGCCCUGAGUUCAAUCCCCACUACCACCGAAAGAUAAAUAAAAGAUGGCAGCUGGGUUUUGUGGUGAACAUCUAUAAUCUUUUUAGAAUUUUUUUUUUUUGUACCGGGGAUCAAACUUGGGUCCUUACACUUGUGAGGCAGGCAGCAGAACCACUGAGCUAAAUCCCCAGCCCAUAAUCUUUUUUUAAAAAAUAAAUUUUAUUUUAUCCCAUUCCCCCCUCUGUAAUCUUAAACACUAGGGAGGCUGAGGCAGGAGGACUGCCAUGAGUUUGUAGUCAGCCUGGGCUCCUGAGUGAGUUCAAGGCCAGCCUGAACUAUAUAGUGAGAUUUUGUCUCAAAAAACCAAAAU
rnacentral:lncRNA from 1 species